AGAGGAGGAGAACUGGCCUGAGGUCUGGAGGAUCAAGAUCUGAACUUCUUCUGGAAAGGACUUAGGCCUUAGGCGAAAUGUCUCAAGUAAGUCCAGUUGUCCUUUCAACGUAGAGCUGGAGAUCAUAGAUGCUGCAUCCUCAGUUUUAAAUACAUUUGAAGAUCCUGAACUGUUCAGGAUCAGGACAACAUUCCCCUUCCAGACUCUUGAACCUGGUCUUUUGAAGCGACCCGGAUCAGAGGGUUCGAGGCCUGACUCUAAACCCAAACAUGUUUGUGUUCGGACUCUCAGAGGUUAAACCUUUAAAGAGACAGAAGAAGAAGAAGAAGAAAAGAAAAGAGACAAAGAAGAGGAAGAAGAUGAAGAACUUGAAAAGAAUAAACAGUUUAACCUCCUCUGACCUGAUGACCAGGAUUAAAGGAACACUCCACUGUUUCUUCUUCUUCUUCUUCCUGUUGACCUGCUGCUCUGCCCCUCCACACACACACACACACACACACACACACACACACACACACUCGUACCUGCUGAGCCUUUGGAUGUGUGUGUUGUUGUGUGUGUGUGUGUGUUGUUGUCGUGUCCUGCCGUGCGACUGACCUCCUGAUCGUCCACAUCACUAAUUAGCGGCUUUGUCUGUCUCACCGCUGGCAGCCAAACUCCGCCUCUGAUUGGCUGUGAGGAGGAAGUAAACACACACACACACACACGCACACACACACACACACACACACACACACACUGAGGGGAGGUCAUCUGAGGUAAAGGGGGGUUAGAGUGAUGUCUUUGUUUAGGAGGAAAUGAGUUUGUCUCUUUGUGUCUCCAGGUGAGCUGUUGUUGUUUCCUGUUGUUUCCACACACUUUUGUGUGUGUGUUUGUGUUUGUGUGAGUGUGUGUGUGUUACUGUGUGUUUGUGUUUGUGUUUGUGUGAGUGUGAGUGUGUGUGUGUGUGUGUGGUGGGGUGUGUGUCAUGGGCAGAUGGUCAGUUAUAAACUUAUAAACUUUAGCGCUGAAUAAAAGGACAAUAUUUUCUUCUCAGUUUCCUCUGAUUGACUUUAUUCCAUUUUUUAAAAUUUUUCCUUGUUUCCUUCUUGGACUUGAUUCCUUCCCUUUCAACCUUUACCAAAGUUUCCCCUCCUUUCUUUUUUCUUUUCCUUUCCUUCUUUCCUUUCCUCUCUCUCUUUCCUCUCGUCUGUCUCAGCUCACUGAUCAGCUGAGAGUUUUCUCCUCCUCCUCCUUCUCCUCCUCCUCUACUCUCUCCUGCUGUCUUUUCUCCUGUCCCUCAGAGGUUAAGUCCACAUCUCUCUGGGCGUCCUCUCGUCUUUUGUCCAGGUGGACAAAGACCUCGUCCUCCAUGACAGACGUCCUCCUGUCCUUCAGAGGGUCAGCAGAGCGAGGCGAGGACGCUCGGAGAGAAAAACAGAAGAAGAAGAAAACAACGUCACAUACAGAGAGGAUUCUGGUUUUUCAAUUCUACGUUAACUUUUCACUUUUUUUUCUGUUGACUUUUUUAUCCUUUUUAUUAUUAUUUUUUCUCUUUCCUCAAUAAUUUCCCCACCAGGUUCUUUUUCUACUUUCUUUUUCUCUUUUUCUACUUUAUUUUCUCACUUUUUUCUGCUCUUUCACUUUUUCUUUAUUUUUAGUUUCUUUUCCUUUAUUUCCCUAACCCUAACCCUCAACCUCCUCUUUUUUUGUUUUUCUUUUCUUUUAAUGAUAAAAAGGUUAAAAUAAUUAAAAUCCUUAAACUUGUUUUCAGAUUGACUUUUUUAUGAGAAAAGAAAAAGUUCCAGACUCUUCAGACCUGAACAUUUAUUGUUGUUUUCAUUCUUUAAACAGGAUCGAGUGUCUGAAAUAAAAAAAGAGAGAAAGUGUCUCUGAGUCUUUUAAUUCUCUUAUCGUCUGUUUUUCUCCUUAAACAUCUUCACCAGUCAGAGCUACACUAAUCCUCCAGACACCACAGAAGAAGAACAAGAAAGAAGAGGAUGAAAAGGAGGUGAAGAAGGUCUGAAGUUUGUCAGGUUUAGUUUCCAGAACCAUCUUUGUCUGUUUCUUCUCCUGCCUGAUCCACGUGAAGCUAUCGUCAACACCACAGAAGAAGAAGAAGAAGAAGAAGAAGAAGAAGAAGAAGAAGAAGAGAAG